rnacentral:lncRNA from 1 species
UUUAGGAUGUUCGCUACUCUGUUUCAAAAUAACAAGCUUUUUAAAAGACUGUUAUAAAUUGAUAGUAUGUAAAUAAAGGAACUAAAAAAGCAGAAAAAAAUGAAGGGUCCGUGUGCUUGUUUUUGAGAUAUAAGCCAUCGAAAAUUUGGCGGGAAAUACUUCUCUCUAGACUGUUCUUACAUUUAACAUUGGAACCCUUUUUCUUUAAAAAAGAAUGAAAAAAUAAUAAGGAUUUUAUUAGAUUAUCAAAUAUGGCUGUUUAAACUAUAAGUAAUAAAAUUAUGAAAAGAAAAAUAGAGGUUAGCGGGGAAAUUUUUUUAAUGGCACUACAUUGAUAAAACCAGAGGAUUCCGAAUAUCUGGCAAAAAUUCAAAAACAAGAGGAGCGAACAUCCUUAA